AUGUAAUGUUUGUGUGUAUUAGAUACUGUUUGUGCAGUUAAAGCAGAGUAUAUGUUUAUGUUGCAGAUACAGUGUGUAUAGUGAAUGCAGAGUGUGUUUGAGUAGUGGAUGUAGUGUGUGUACAGUGAUGUAGUGUGUGUUUGUGUAGUGGAUGUAGUGUUUGUGUGUACUAGAUGGAAUGUGUUUAGUGUAUGCAGUGUCUGUAGUGGAUGUAGU